UCCCACGAAUCCGAGCUAGGUGCAUGGACCGGACUGUUAAUCCGAGGUUAGGUGAGUUCGAAUCUCACGGUGGGAGCCA
rnacentral:tRNA from 3 species